rnacentral:rRNA from 1 species
UACGUAGGGUCCAAGCGUUAUCCGGAAUCACUGGGCGUAAAGCGUGCGUAGGCGGCGUGUUAAGUGUGAUGUUAAAUCGUGUGGCUCAACCAUAUCGAUGCAUCGCAUACUGGCAUGCUAGAGGAAGGCAGAGGCAAGUGGAAUUUGUAGUGUAGCAGUGAAAUGCGUAGAGAUUACAAGGAACACCAAUGGCGAAGGCAGCUUGCUGGGCCUUUUCUGACGCUGAGGUACGAAAGCGUGGGGAGCGAACAGG